AGAGUUUGAUCCUGGCUCAGGAUGAACGCUAGCGGCAGGCUUAAUACAUGCAAGUCGAGGGGCAGCAGGUUUGUAGCAAUACAGAUGCUGGCGACCGGCAAACGGGUGAGGAACACGUACGCAACUUUCCUUCAAGUGGGGGAUAGCCCAGGGAAACUUGGAUUAAUACCCCAUAAUAUUACGAAGCGGCAUCGUUUUGUAAUUAAAGCUCCGGCGCUUGAAGAUGGGCGUGCGCCUGAUUAGGUAGUUGGCGGGGUAACGGCCCACCAAGCCUACGAUCAGUAACUGGUGUGAGAGCACGACCAGUCACACGGGCACUGAGACACGGGCCCGACUCCUACGGGAGGCAGCAGUAAGGAAUAUUGGGCAAUGGACGAAAGUCUGACCCAGCCAUGCCGCGUGGAGGAUGAAGGUCCUCUGGAUUGUAAACUUCUUUUAUCUGGGAAGAAAUCUACGGUUUCCACUGUAGUUGACGGUACCAGAUGAAUAAGCACCGGCUAACUCCGUGCCAGCAGCCGCGGUAAU
rnacentral:rRNA from 1 species